rnacentral:misc_RNA from 1 species
UUUCCGUAGGUGAACCUGCGGAAGGAUCAUUAUUGGAUUUUGAAACUUCUGGCUGCUGCUGGCUCUCCUCGGAGGGCAUGUGCACGCUUGUUGUCCAUUAUUUCUCUCACUGUGCACAAAUUGUAGACCUUUCAGUAGGCCUAUGUUGUUUUUCACAAUCUCUGAAUGUAAUAGAAUGGUUUUGAAUCUUGGGAAAUACAAUACAACUUUCAGCAACGGAUCUCUUGGCUCUC